rnacentral:rRNA from 1 species
CCUACGGGGGGCUGCAGUGGGGAAUAUUGGACAAUGGGGGCAACCCUGAUCCAGCCAUGCCGCGUGUGUGAAGAAGGCCCUCGGGUUGUAAAGCACUUUCAGUGAGGAAGAACGCCUGGUGGUUAAUACCCAUCAGGAAAGACAUCACUCACAGAAGAAGCACCGGCUAACUCCGUGCCAGCAGCCGCGGUAAUACGGAGGGUGCGAGCGUUAAUCGGAAUUACUGGGCGUAAAGCGCGCGUAGGUGGCUUGAUAAGCCGGUUGUGAAAGCCCCGGGCUCAACCUGGGAACGGCAUCCGGAACUGUCAAGCUAGAGUGCAGGAGAGGAAGGUAGAAUUCCCGGUGUAGCGGUGAAAUGCGUAGAGAUCGGGAGGAAUACCAGUGGCGAAGGCGGCCUUCUGGACUGACACUGACACUGAGGUGCGAAAGCGUGGGUAGCGAACAGGAUUAGAUACCCUAGUAGUC